CGCCACCGCGCCGGCACCCCGCCCGCGCGGCCCUCGGCGGAGUCGGCGGUGGCGCUGGGCUUGGGCGCCGGCACCUCUCCUGCAAGACCCGAGAACAAAGUCUGGCCCCAAGACUUGAAGCAAACGCUCGGCCCAGAUCAAAGCUCCAGCACGCGCCCGCGGUGCCUUUAGAAGUCGCGGCGGACAAGGAGGGGGCUCCUGAGGGAAGAGUCGCCCCACUACCGUGGGGCCGUGAAUUAGGGUGUUGGUACUCCGCCGCGUUGACCUUCGGGAAGGCUCGGAGUGGGCCUUUGCAGGUGUUGUGCAGGGUGUUCCUCCUCGCUUAAGGACCAGUGUCAGAUGGGGCAUCCCCACCCCCGCCCCGGGCUCAGAUUGAUGGAUCCCAGGCGAACCGUGUUUUCACGCACACGAUUCUAAAAUGUUAACUAUUUCCCGUGAAUGAAGAAAAGGAGUGAUUCCUUAUCUCGGUGGAAGGGUGGUGUUUCAGUGGGCGCACUUUCGUAUGGGUGGCCUACUUACAAUUAGCACCAUUUGAGGCAGUGUGACUUUUAGUGGAAGGUUGUCAAUGAGCCACCCCUGCAUAUGCUGUCCUUAGCGCUUGUGCAAAGCAAUGAUUAUUUGAUGUUCUGCGGCCCUUUCUUGUAGGCAACGUGCAGUAGAAUGUGGAAAGAAUACUGUGUAGCAGCACUGAGUAUAAAACAUGAAAGGACCAGAAUUGUUCCUGCUUGGUUUCUUUAAUAACCACUAAACAGAUCUGAUGACUGUUGUGCGUUGGAGAAUGCUAACUGAUUUCUCCUUGGACUACCUUCUAGAAUACCCUUGAACUACGUUCUCUCAAAUAGGGUUACUUCUUUAAAGGGCCGCCACCUAAAGGUACAUUAGAACAAAAACAAAACAAGAAACAAAGUUCAUAGUGUUUCAUAUUUAUUCCAUUUCAAAGAAAGUCUUGAAUCAUGAUAAAAAAAUCACUGAGAGAAGUAGAGAAAACAAAUGGUCCCAAAACAUUCCAGAGGAAGGAAAAACUAUUGGUUAAAAAGGGUGGAAAUGCUUUAUGAAUACAGGAAGCUUUCCCAUACAUGCUAAUUGCUUCAAGUCCCAAAGAAACAACAGGCAAACUGAAUUAGCACUUGGAGGAAAAGUCCCUUCCAGCUAUAAUAGAGCUGGGUAAAUGUUUAGUCUUUUUUCGGAGUUAGUAAGAGAUUAAGGAAAAGGUGGUUGGCUGUGUGCCAACAAUAAUACAACAAUUAUAUAUAUAUAUAUAUAUAUAUAUAUAUAUAUAUACACACACACACACACACACAUACACAUAUAUACAUACAUAUGUAUGCCAUUAACACAAAUAAUUAACUGCUCUCAAGAAAUAAGAAAACCGAGGAACAGGGGAUUCUAUUUUGUGCAACUGUCUUGCAAUUACUUUAAACUUGAAUUAGAGCCUCAUAAAAACAAAUGAGCCUGUGUCCUACAUCUGCCAAUAAUUUUCACAGUUUAUUGUAAAAGCAGUGAAUUUUUCAUUUGGACUUUGAUGAGAAAAAGCCAUCUGACUCAUGAGGUAGUAGGCCUUGGAUACACUAAAUUCUCAUGUCUACGAAAUUUCUGAGUUCACAAUAAGAACCUCAAAAUCUGUUUCUUAUGUUGAU
rnacentral:lncRNA from 1 species